AGCAAAAAACGGGUCGCAAGAGUAUUCUGAGAACGGACAGCAGCUAAAAUAGCCUGCCCUUCGGUGGGUCCCCGCUCAGAACUCAAGCUGGUUUUAGCUCAUCUUGUGCCAUUACAGAGAGAACAUAUCUGAAGCAUAUCAGACUGGUCCCACCCAUACGGGCAGUCCAGAUCUGAAAUGCCAGCAAGUUCUCUCUGCACGAGAGAUA